rnacentral:lncRNA from 10 species
UUGCUUUCUUUAAAGUUACUAAGGAUCUCAUUCUAGCUAAAUCUUACAACCUUCUCUUUCUUCACCAUCUUUAUUCAAUUCAACAGACAUAUAUUGAGCUCCUUGCUCCCCUCUGGGCACCAAGCCCACAGAAAGACAGACUCAAUCCCUGUCCUCCAGGAGAUCACAGUCUCUGUAGUCAAAGAACAGGAUUUGAAGGUCUUCCAUGGAUUGGAGGAUAAAAUAAUCAGGUGGUCAUGUGGAUCAGCUCUUCCCCUCUCUUCCUGAUGCCCUGACUCUGUAUUCUCCUCUUUCUUUUCUAAUAUCCUUAGACAAAUCUUUUUCUGUAUUCUUUACUGGCAUCCUUUACUAAUACCCCUUAUUUUGUCCUGGAAAUAGAAGCAUUCACCAAGGUUCAGUCCUUGGCCCCUUUCUUUCAUUGUACACCCCCUCUUUCAAGAUUUGCCUUUAAUUGUCACCUCUGUUUCUCUAGCCUUGAUUCCCCUCCUGCCAAUUUGCUCUCUCAUUUUGGAUUGAAAUUGUAGCUUGAUAGAUAUCCAACUAAGAUAUUUCACAUGCACCUCCCACUCACAAUGUCCAAAACUGAGCUCAUCUUUUCCUCACCUCUUAGGCAUUUCCCCUCAGCACAUGGACCUCCUCUGAGAACUUUCUCCACCCCAGAGUGGGUGUGAACUACAUAAUCCUGCACCCUUGGCUGUAGCUGGCUAGAUAUGAUCUCCUAAGGGUAUGGAAUAGUAGCAAGCACUAGUUCAUUGUGGUUUAACUGGGAAGUGAUACAAACUCAGAGGUGAAGCUGCCACUGUGGGAUGGCCAUCUUCAAUCAUGGGCAUGGCGAUGCAGAGAAAGCUUGUUCAUGAAAAGAAGCAUGAAUGCAGCAAAUAGAGGUCAGGAUGUGAGACUGUGAAACUUGGGAUAACAGCAUCACCAAGGAGGGAUGUGGUUCCUUCCUGGUUCUGCCAAUUCCUGAUUCUGGUCCCUUGUGAGGUUCAGCUAUACUUUCUGCACUUAAGUUUUGGGAAAUAAUCCUAUAUUUUUAUAAUAAAUUAUUCCGUUCUACUUAAGUUAAUGUAAGUGGGGCUUCAAAUGAAAGCGCUUUAGGUAUAACACCCCCAAGCCCAGACAUACCCUCUUCAUUGCAUUUCUAUUUCCCUUAAUAAUAAGAAUGCUCUUUUCUCAGUAUUCACACUGAAAACUCCCAUAUUAUCUUUGGCAUUUUGCUUACCUCAUUCCAACCUCUCCAUUAUAUCCCAUUAUCUAUCAUGUCCAAUGGAGUCUAUUUUCCAUAUUGUUCUUGAGGAAAAAAAACGCUCUUAAGUUUGUCACUUCUUUCCAUUCUUCCCAUCACCUCAGGCUCACUGGUUCUUACUGAGACAAUUAAAGAUUCCUUACUGAUUUUCCUGCUUCUGGUUAUUUUCUCCUCCAAUCCAUCAAAGAUCUUCAAAGCUUGUUCAUUAUGCACUGAAUUAAUAUCAUAUUUCUCACCUGAAUUUUCAUGUCUUCUUUGACUAUUUACCCCUUGUGGUCUGAAUGUGUCCCCCAAAAUAUGUGUUGAAGCUUAAUGGCCAAUGAUAUAGUAGUAAGAAGUGGGGCCUUUAAGAGGUGACUAAGUCAUGAGGGUGGAAUCCUCAUGGCUAGAAUUAGGGCCCUUGUAAAAGGACUUGAAGGAGUGGGUUUGAUCUCUGCUGCUCUUCUGUCAUGUGAGGACACAACCUUCCAUCCCUUUUGUCCUUCCAUUCCUCCCACGAUGUGAGAAGACCACAUUCAAGGCACCAUCUUGGAAGGAUAGUCUGGAGCUCUCAGCAGACACUGAACCUGGUAGCACUUUGAUCUUGGACCUCCCUCCAGAGCUGCUUUCCAUCCUUGGAGGCGGUGAUGGUUAAUACUGAGUGGCAACUUGAUUGGAUUAAAGGAUGCAAAGUCUUGAUCCUGAGUGUGUCUGUGAGGGUGUUGCCAAAGGAGAUUAACAUUUGAGUCAGUGGGCUGGGGAAGGCAGACCUACCUUUAAUCUGGUGUGCACAAUCUAAUCAGCUGCCAGAGAAUAUGAACAGGCAGAAAAAUGUGAAAAGGUGAGACUGGCCUAGACUCCAAGACUAUAUAUUUCUCCCAUGCUGGAUGCUUCCUGCCCUCAAACUUCAGACUCCAGGUUCUUCAGCUUUGAGAAUCGGACUGGCUCUACUUGCUACCCAAGCUUGCAGACAGCUUGUGAUUGUGAGCCCACCAGGCUUGAGUUGCCA